UCCCUAUCUGCCGUGGGCGUUGGAAGAUUGAAGGGGGCUGCUCCUAGUACGAGAGGACCGGAGUGGACGAACCUCUGGUGUUCGGGUUGUGUCGCCAGACGCAUUGCCCGGUAGCUAAGUUCGGAAUUGAUAAGCGCUGAAAGCAUCUAAGCGCGAAGCGAGCCCUGAGAUGAGUCUUCCCUGACAGUUUAACUGUCCUAAAGGGUUGUUCGAGACUAGAACGUUGAUAGGCAGGGUGUGUAAGCGUUGUGAGGCGUUGAGCUAACCUGUACUAAUUGCCCGUGAGGCUUAACCAUACAACACCCAAGGGGUUUUGUA
rnacentral:rRNA from 1 species